rnacentral:rRNA from 1 species
GGAAUAUUGGACAAUGGGGGAAACCCUGAUCCAGCGACGCCGCGUGGGUGAAGAAGGCCUGCGGGUUGUAAAGCCCUGUCGGUGGGGAAGAAAAGCCUCGACCUAAUACGUCGGGGUCUUGACGUAACGCACAACAGAAGCACCGGCCAACUCCGUGGCAGCCGCCGCGGUAAUACAGAGGGUGCGAGCGUUAAUCGGAAUUACUGGGCGUAAAGCGCACGUAGGCGGCUUUGCAAGUCGGGUGUGAAAUCCCCGUGCUCAACCUGGGAACUGCAUUCGAUACUGCAUUGCUGGAGUAUGGGAGAGGGAAGUGGAAUUUCCGGUGUAGCGGUGAAAUGCGUAGAUAUCGGAAGGAACACCAGUGGCGAAAGCGACUUCCUGGACCAAUACUGACGCUCAGGUGCGAAAGCGUGGGGAGCAAAC